UUCAACCAUGCUUUGGGUAUAAAGACAAAAAAAAAAAAAUGUUAGUAAUGCAUUUCUCAUAUUUCUUCUAAACAUAGCCAAACAGUAACGAUGUAUUUUCCAGUUUGCAUCUAAAUACUACCCAAACAGCGACAAUCCAUUUGUAGUGACAAUAUAUUUCCAGGUAUCCAAAUGGCCCCUAAGUGUGUCAUAUUUUGGUCACUAUAUGGGAAUAGUCUCUUCCUGUAGGGCCUCCCUAGCAUGAGAGGCAAGGCCUCCUCUUAGAGAGAAGAUAACUUAUUAUAUUGAGAACGUUGCGAUGGUGCUUCAUGUAGAUUGAGAGGUUAGUUUCUUAAGAAACAGUUAUGAAGAAGUAAAUCUCAUAGACCCAUGGAGAUUUUGUGUGGUUUCACAUUUUAAUUAGAGAAAGUCUUUAUUGCUCUAAGGUUCUCUUGUUAAACAUUGGUCUAGCUUAGCUAUGGAAUAGAGAUUAGCUAUGGAAUAGAGAUAAGAGAUCGAUAGUCGUGCAGAUCGGAAAAAGCAAAUCUAAAAAGGUUUCCGCCGAUGGUUUUAUCAAGGGUUAGAGAUAUAAAUUUAUAUCCCAAAAUCUAUCACGUAACUUUACUGGGUUUUGUCGAAAGUUAGAGAUGUAACCCUAUGUCCCAAAAUCUAUGAUAUAACUUUUAUUGGUAAUGUGGAUUUGAAUUGUUGUGUCAAUAGA
rnacentral:lncRNA from 1 species